UACGGAGGGUGCAAGCGUUGUUCGGAUUUAUUGGGCGUAAAGAGCUCGUAGGCGGUUCAGUAAGUCGGGUGUGAAAGCUCCGAGCUCAACUCGGAGAGGCCACCCGAUACUGCUGUGACUUGAGUCCAGUAGAGGAGCGUGGAAUUCCUGGUGUAGCGGUGAAAUGCGCAGAUAUCAGGAGGAACACCAGCAGCGAAGGCGGCGCUCUGGGCUGGAACUGACGCUGAGGAGCGAAAGCGUGGGUAGCAAACAGG
rnacentral:rRNA from 1 species